rnacentral:rRNA from 1 species
GACGAACGCUGGCGGCGUGCUUAACACAUGCAAGUCGAACGGAAAGGCCCUGCUUGCAGGGUACUCGAGUGGCGAACGGGUGAGUAACACGUGGGUGCUCUGCCCUGCACUUCGGGAUAAGCCUGGGAAACUGGGUCUAAUACCGGAUAGGAGCCAUUUUUAGUGUGAUGGUUGGAAAGUUUUUUCGGUGUAGGAUGAGCUCGCGGCCUAUCAGCUUGUUGGUGGGGUAAUGGCCUACCAAGGCGGCGACGGGUAGCCGGCCUGAGAGGGUGGACGGCCACAUUGGGACUGAGAUACGGCCCAGACUCCUACGGGAGGCAGCAGUGGGGAAUAUUGAACAAUGGGCGCAAGCCUGAUGCAGCGACGCCGCGUGGGGGAUGACGGCCUUCGGGUUGUAAACUCCUUUCGCUAGGGACGAAGCUUUUUGUGACGGUACCUAGAGAAGAAGCACCGGCUAACUACGUG